GACAGAGGGUGCAAGCGUUGUUCGGAAUCACUGGGCGUAAAGGGCGUGUAGGCGGCGGGGUGUGUCUGAUGUGAAAGCCCACGGCUCAACCGUGGAAGUGCAUCGGAAACUACCUUGCUUGAGUACGAGAGAGGGUGGCGGAAUUCCAAGUGUAGAGGUGAAAUUCGUAGAUAUUUGGAGGAACACCAGUGGCGAAGGCGGCCACCUGGCUCGUAACUGACGCUGAUACGCGAAAGCGUGGGUAGCAAACAGG
rnacentral:rRNA from 1 species